rnacentral:lncRNA from 1 species
UGAUCGAGGAGAAAGUGACAGGCACGACAGCAACAGUGUACGGGUGUGGCAUGUCGGUUGACCUGUGCCAGGGCCCCCAUCUUCGGCACACAGGACAGAUUGGAGCACUGAAGCUGCUCACGGAACAGGAGCUCUUCUUCUUCCAUGAGCUGAGCCCUGGGAGCUGCUUUUUCCUGCCACGAGGGACAAGAAUUUAUAACGCCCUGGUGGCUUUUAUCAGGCCUGAUGUUUGCCCACCGGCCCAGAUCCUGGCGAGAACUGCCUGUGCGGCUGGCUGAUUUCGGAGUCCUGCAUCGUGCGGAGGCCUCUGGCAGUCUGGGAGGAUUGACGCGGCUGUGGCGCUUCCAGCAGGAUGAUGCUCACAUCUUUUGUGCGCCCAGUCAGCUGGAAGCAGAGAUCCGGGGCUGCCUUGAUUUUCUCCGGUCUGUCUACUCGGUUCUUGGUUUCUCCUUCCACCUGGCUUUGUCUACCCGACCACCCGGCUUCCUAGGGGAGCCUCACCUAUGGGACCAGGCUGAGAAGGUCCUACAACAAGCCUUGGAAGAGUUUGGAGAACCCUGGAACCUCAACCCUGGAGAUGGGGCGUUCUAUGGGCCUAAGAUUGAUGUGCACCUCCAUGAUGCCCUUGGCCGGCCCCAUCAAUGCGGAACAAUCCAGCUUGACUUCCAGCUGCCACUGAGAUUUGACCUACAGUACAAGGGGCCGGCGGGGGCCCCCGAGUGUCCAGUCCU